rnacentral:rRNA from 1 species
AGUGAACGCUGGCGGUAGGCCUAACACAUGCAAGUCGAACGGCAGCACAGUAAGAGCUUGCUCUUACGGGUGGCGAGUGGCGGACGGGUGAGGAAUACAUCGGAAUCUACUUUUUCGUGGGGGAUAACGUAGGGAAACUUACGCUAAUACCGCAUACGACCUACGGGUGAAAGCAGGGGAUCUUCGGACCUUGCGCGAUUGAAUGAGCCGAUGUCGGAUUAGCUAGUUGGCGGGGUAAAGGCCCACCAAGGCGACGAUCCGUAGCUGGUCUGAGAGGAUGAUCAGCCACACUGGAACUGAGACACGGGCCGGACUCCUACGGGAGGCAGCAGUGGGGAAUAUUGGACAAUGGGCGCAAGCCUGAUCCAGCCAUACGGCGUGGGUGAAGAAGGCCUUCGGGUUGUAAAGCCCUUUUGUUGGGAAAGAAAAGCAGCAGGUUAAUACCCCGCUGUUCUGAGGGUACCCAAAGAAUAAGCACCGGCUAACUUCGUG